GAUGAACGCUAGCGGCAGGCUUAACACAUGCAAGUCGAGGGGUAUAGUUCUUCGGAACUAGAGACCGGCGCACGGGUGCGUAACGCGUAUGCAAUCUACCUUUUACAGAGGGAUAGCCCAGAGAAAGAUUAAUACCCGAUGGUAUAAAGAGUUCGCAUGUUCUCUUUAUUAAAGAAUUUCGGUAAGCGAUGGGGAUGCGUUCCAUUAGAUAGUUGGCGGGUAACGGCCCACCAAGUCUACGAUGGAUAGGGGUUCUGAGAGGAAGGUCCCCCACAUUGGAACUGAGACACGGUCCAAACUCCUACGGGAGGCAGCAGUGAGGAAUAUUGGUCAAUGGACGAGAGUCUGAACCAGCCAAGUAGCGUGAAGGAUGACUGCCCUAUGGGUUGUAAACUUCUUUAUAAGGGAAUAAAGUGAGGACGUGUCCCUUUUGUAUGUACCUUAUGAAUAAGGAUUGGCUAACUCCGUUG
rnacentral:rRNA from 1 species